rnacentral:rRNA from 1 species
GAUGAACGCUAGCGAUAGGCUUAACACAUGCAAGUCGAGGGGCAUCACGAAGUAGCAAUAUUUUGGUGGCGACCGGCGCACGGGUGAGUAACACGUAUGCAACCUACCUGUAACAGUUGGAUAACCAGUCGAAAGGCUGACUAAUACGGCAUAAGGAAGCAGUUCCGCAUGGGAGAGCUUCUAAAGAUUUAUUGGUUACAGAUGGGCAUGCGGUCCAUUAGGCAGUUGGAGGGGUAACGGCCCACCAAACCGACGAUGGAUAGGGGUUCUGAGAGGAAGGUCCCCCACAUUGGUACUGAGACACGGACCAAACUCCUACGGGAGGCAGCAGUGAGGAAUAUUGGUCAAUGGGCGAGAGCCUGAACCAGCCAAAUCGCGUGAAGGAUGAAGGUAUUAUGUAUUGUAAACUUCUUUUAUCGGGGAAUAAAGUGCACCACGAGUGGUGUUUUGUAUGUACCCGAGGAAUAAGGAUCGGCUAACUCCGUG